CCCUGAGGCGCUGAAUACGAGCCAUCUCCACCUCAAUCUCAUCUGGAGACAUGGUGCUCUCUGCCAUGGACACAUCGGAGUGACCUGAGGGACAGAGGGACGACGUGCGAAGUUAUUGAGCGGCAACAGAAAGAACAGUGUUCUACUGUAUGCUGUGACCCACCACCACCACAGGAUCUUCAUGACGGAGCUGUAGAGUGUGUGUCUGCUAUACACACACACACACUGGAUCAGCUCUUCAUUCCCCUGCAGCAGCACCAACUGCAGUCUGCCCUGGUGGUACUUUUUUAAGUGGAUCUUCCCGAGGACAGAGCUGACUCACCACAGCAGACAUGAGCCUGGCUGAUGACGUGGACACGUCAGGAGCGCAAGAGCAUUCUGCACGGAUACAGACCAGUUACAGAUCCACGCCGUCGCCCACUCAACAUUGGAAUCAUGGAAGUGCAAGGCUCCGACUCUUUGUCCUUUGGGGAAAAGAUCAAAGCCAGAGCAGCAGAAGCAGUUCCAUCGCCUCGCUGUUGUGAAAAGCACAUGAAGAUGGCCCAGAC